rnacentral:lncRNA from 1 species
CAGAACCAAUCAGUGAGGAGUCUUCUCUGUUCUUUAUGAAAUGCAGGUCAUCUUCGAUUGGGCUUCUCUCUGGUCCACCCCUAACUGCCUGUCUCAAUGCUGUGGUUUCAAGUCCUUAAUCCUAGAGAAGGAGUGGCUCUUCCCUGGUUGUCCAGGGAGUAUUACUGAGGUCCCCACUGAGAGUCUCAAUCUCCUGCAAGGAAAUAUGACAGAAGGUGAAAGAAAGACACAGAAAUAAGACUUAAACAGAAAGCAAGGAUCUGGUAUCAUCUGAGCUGAUCUGGGCAGCAAAGACAAAAGGCACACAAAACCUCCUGUGUUUACUGAUUACAAGCACGGGAAUAGGGCAGGGUAUAUGUGAGACACUUGCCAAGACUAGUCAUCACAAGCAAGCUCAUAACAGAGGGGCAGUGCAUUCCUGCAGGAGAAACAAAGGGAGACCAGGACUCGGUUGCAGUUAACCGGUAACUGAUCAGGUCAGUGGGGGAGGCCGCAAUGCAGGGAAAGGAAUUUAGUUGGAGCCACACUGUUCUCAGCCAUGAUGUUAUCUCAAUCAGGGUCCUGCAGCUUCACAGACCAGGACAGAGUCUCCUCUACAGCCUGCCAGUAAACUGGACAGGAGAGUCAGCUGGAGAGUAUCGGGUAACCCCACAGGGUCACCACUGCAGGAAUGCCAUCUCAAGGAGAAUAGAUAUUCCAGGAUCCAGAGGGUGCAGGAGCAGCACAAAGACUUGUCAGAGGGAUGACCUGAGGUCCAAAGUGGGUCUCAGCCUCCCUCCUUCUUCAGUGCCAUCACUAGGCCUAUUUACCCGGACCUGUUCUCACUUCAGUCUUCUGCUGUCACAGUGCUUGAUUUGAGGAGAACGUGCUGAGUGUCAGCGAGAGCCACCCAGUCAUGCGCUCUCAGAACAGAGUCCACAGUGACCCUGAGGUGAUGGAAGAAGAUACUUCAGCUCAUAGCCCAGCUGCUUAUUCCUGAGCAUGGGCAACUCCAGAUGCUCUGCAGUGAAGAUUUGGUCACGGUCCUGACAUCCGGAGUACCUGGGAUAUCGGAGUGAAGAAAAGAACCCUACUUGACCGACUUCGUAUGUAUGAGGAUCUGAUGACCUAAUAACACGUCCUUCCUCUAGACCAGGAAGUGCUUUAUCUGAGGCCUAGUUCGGGGGUGAACCUCCCGAGCAGGCAUGUUAGUAAUAAAUGAGCAAACAAAUAAACAAGUUCCACUCUUGUCCUUGGCAACGUUGGACUGAUGCUGUGAAGGGCAGCUGAGUCAGUUUUGGGGAAGAUGAGAUGAGUGAGCCGCAUUGGCACCUUGAGAAGACAUUUCUUCCUGGAGUUUAUACUUAGUUUUCUUCCUCUUGGCUUUUGGGUGCAUGCAUUUGGAUUAAAAAUAAUCCUUUGGGGGGCCGGGGAUUUAGCUCAGUGAUUUCGCCGCCUGCUGAGCAAGCGCAAGGACCCGAGUUCGAUCCCCGGUACCAAAAAAAAAAAAUCCUUUGAUCAUGAUAGAUACUCACCAUUGGUCCAUACUGAACCUUCUUAAAUAAUGUAUGUUUCUCUUUACCUAUCUAAUCGUUAUUGAAACAAACAAAGAAUUCACCACCCAAGUAAAAAUAAGAACUUUGAUAGUAAGUUAAAUACAU